CUCGAUAGGAACUCCUCCGGAUACUCGCAUGAAGUUGGAUGAUCAGCUGCCAAAAGAAAAAACAAUGAGAAUAAAGACGGUUAGUAUGCGAAGAAACGACGCGAGUUAACAGAGGUAUUCUGCCGAGCAGAGUAUUCCAUAACACCCCGUAGUCGUUAUCCGGAGGAUCCUCGAAGGUAGAAUCAUCGGACUUGAUAUAAAAAUAGGACCUCUGCCAGUCGAACGUCUUGUUAGGAUGUCCCCCUACUACGUUGUAGUUUGGUCGCAUUUCAAUCGACAGAAUGCCUUCAUCUAACGGGUUGAUAGGCGUUAACUCCUCGAAAGCGCGAACACUCAGAGAAAUGUCAAUCUCAGCGGCCAUUACAAUCAAGGCAACCGCGAUACGCCACGAGCCAUUAAGAAAUUGUCUUAUUGCUGCACCUUGACGCCUCACAUACGACGUAACUAGUUGAGGAAUCGGGAACUAGAGCUUCGUCUCGUCUUGAAAAUAAGAUUCAUAGACGCACUGGAACCCGACCGGUGGUGACCAAUGCCUCUGGCUCCCCGAAGGGAUUAGGAAAGUCACCCCGAAUCCUCGACGUUCCCUCAGAAUCCUCUUCACGCUAUCGGGAGUCGACCGCGUCUUGAUAACGUUCUCCCAAGCCUGGCCGCUCACAUCUGGAGAGCGCAGGAACUCGGGAGCUAGAGCCGGGAGCUCCUUGAAGAUUACCCCGGGGUAAUAGCACGUCGGUACAUAGUUAACGAGAGGAACUCCGUCUCUCGCACCUCCCGAACCGUCUCUUUCGCAGAUCUACGGUUCCAUUGGAGCUUUUCCUACUUCUUCUCGAUAUAGGCGCGCUGACUCGGAAACCAAAAUUCUUUGGGACAACUCCAAACUCCUAGUGUCUAUCAUCGCCUCGCAAUGGACCUGUUCGAACUCGUCGAGCGGAGUCCCGCUCGUGUCUCUCGCGGGACUGUAUGCAGUCGCAACCUCCUUCCCUAUCUGUUUACAAGAUAACCUCCCACCAGAAGACAUAACGCUGUCUAUUCUACAACAACAAUCUAGAGAGAAAAGAAGAGAGGAAGAGAGAGAAAAUACCUGAAUAACGCGGAGAAGAAUGGAAGAAAUGAGAAGUGGGCAAGUAUUUAUAGGGGACAAGUGGAGCAUUUCCCUGAGGCGUCAUCAUUGGGUCUACGUGGGCCUACUUGGGCCUCGAAAGAGUACCUAGCCGCCCAAGAAACCGGCGCAUCGCUUCGACUCCCCGAGAUAACCGGGUCUGACCCAGAUCAAACCGACGGUCGAGGUGAGAAUCGGGUUUAACCAAACGGAAACCGGUUUAACCGGAAUUCGAUCAAAUCGCCUAAAUUCAAGAGUACGGGACGACAUCUCGCGAUAUGUCGACCGAGCAUCGCGUCUUCACGACGAACCGUCUAUCCUUCCAAACCAUUGCCCUUCCAAAUUCAUCGAGCUCGACAGAACGUCACUCACAGAUGAACUAGGGGGACUUACUGUAGGGGAUGGAUUCGACAAUCCCUCAAGGCCCGAAGAAUAGACGGCUCGGCCCGUAUAAGACAUAGCGACAGCUCGGCCUGACGGCUCGGAGCGCCGAUCCCUCGGCGCGACGCGAGAGUGCUUUUGGUCGAUCGCACAUCGACUAAACGCAUCUGGCUCGAUGGCUCCUCGAAGCAAAGUGGACUUUUCGGCCCAACGAGUUAAAAGCCCACGAAGGCGACGCGAGCUAGGUCGCGAAAGAGCACCAAGUCGGCUAUAUAAGGAGAGAAGGGUGCGACGUAAAGAGGAUCCGAAAUCACUCACACAUACUCGGCGGCUAGAUUAGGGUUUUACCUUUAUUCUCUCGCCGUAUUGUACUUUCCCGGCAAGCUUUCCGAGCUCUGGUUUCCUUUCUGUCGCACUUUUCCUCUCUUUGUAACCGACCAAACGCUUUUCCGACCAUCUAUAAGACGUCUUUGCUUAACCCACAUCUGAAAUCAAACGUUUCAUCUUUUAAUAUCGUUUCCCGAUCAAACAGGGCCUCACUGACGAGAAUACGAAAUGGAGGGGCAGGGACGGAACCGUAGCCGACGAGAUGCAGAAUUUGCCUCGCACGCACCGUCACGACACACUGUCACUUGCGCUGUCACCGCACACGCGCCACCACCUCCUAAGCGUGUGUCACCAGAGAACAUUGAAAAACAAGCCGAAGCUCACCACAAUUGAAACUCUCAUGCCUCCACCAGAGAUCCAUAGCAGAAGAAAGGAAAGGUCUUCAGAUCCGCGAAAUCAUCUGACCAAACCACUGUCGAACCUUAGCACCACCGGAGCGCCACCAUCCAGAGGAGCUGACAAGCUGCGACGAGGCUUCACGACACCACUCGCUCCAUCACUCUUGAGGAACCAUAGGAGGCAAGGAAAAUCAGAGCCAGUCAGAGACACCAUUGAAACAAGAAGCGAGCCGAAGGUGGAGCAGUCACCGUCCUCUAGCGACGCCACCAUCCAGAACGCGAACCGAGAUCCAACGGAGUCACCGGAUCUGAGACUGGCUCAAGACCUACGAUGAAACCACGCCACCACCGAAGAAAGAGAGACAGGGGAGGAGACCAGAGACACAAGAACACAGAGUCGGAGCCCGGCGGUGGCGACCGCCGGAAAACAAAGGAGGAGGCCUGAAACCCUAGGCGGCGGUAGAAGGAAGGAGAAACAAUGGGGACAAAAAGUUUUCGAGGAGAGAUAAACUAAUUCGUAAUGAAUGUUUUAAGGAUUUUUAUUUUAUUUCUAUGAAAACAUGUAUUCUAUUAAUGAUUUUCGAUGGUUAAAGGAUUUUUAUGUAUUUUUGCUUCAUAGCUGUGUUAUUCUUGUAAUUACAAAAAUAUAAGAGUUAAUCUAGUAAUUAUAUAUAUGGUUAGAGUUAUUAUAAGUAAUUUCUUAUUGUGUAAAGCAUCAUUAGUCAUGGAUAUCUUAAUAUGAGCUUCUAGACAAUAUUUUAUUAAUAUUUAUUAAAAUAUUUUUAUCUAUCUAUCUUUAUAUAUAAAAGAAGCAUUGUAUCCAUCCUGAGGCUGCCAGCUCGGAUUCCACGUCGGAAAUAGGAGCUCCCUCGCGCUGACACGUCGGAUCCGCACCGUUUCACUAAAGUUUCUGUCUGAACGAGCUUCACGCGCUAACCAGAGGUUUCUUCUUCACGAGGCCCAUAUCCACAGAUCUUAUACGGAAAACCCUAAUCAGUUGCUCCCUUCCUGAUCUUCGUUCGUCUUCUAUCGGCGCAUCGAUCGUCCAGAACCUGUAACGGUUAUGCUUUUAAUCGUCUUUAAUCGUCUUUAAUUCCUACCCCACUCAAAUCAACCUCUUGAGCCGUUCAUCGGCUAUAUUGUGUAUAAAUAUGCUUCGAUUUCACAGAUGCGCUUUCCACGCUUUCCUAAUCUCACACCUUGCUCAUACUCAGACCUUACUCAUCAUCUUCUUAAAUGGCUUUGACAAAGGUUUUCUUUUCCGAUCUCAAGACUGGGCGGUGCUCAUCUGUUGUGGAGGCAAGACUGCUUCGAUUCUGGGAGGCUAAGAACGUUAAGCGUGGUGGUGAGCUGAUGUGGAUGGAUCUGCUCAUGGUCGAUGUCAACUCAACCAUGAUGCAAGUCACGAUCAGUGCUGGCCGUCUUCCACAGUUUCGGGAUAGGCUCCUUGCCGGAACAAUGUUUUCAUUGUCCGGUUUUGAUGUCUCCAGAUGCGCACAGAAUUUCCGGCUCACUGAUUCGUCUUUUAUGAUCCGGUUCAGCGAGACUACCUUAUUCCAACUGUUGACUGAACCUGACUCCCCCUUGCCAGAGGAAGCAUUCCGGUUCCGUAACCAACAGGAGCUAAUUGGUCUUGCCAAUACAAACACUCAGCUACCAGGUAUGUUGAUCACAGGUAGCACGUACUUAUAUGUUGUUGAUAUUUUGAGUAUAGAGUUAGGAUCGGACUGGUAUUAUAAAGAAAAUGAUACCGGCUUCGAACUUGAUGUAGACAUCAUAUGUGAGAUAUUGAGUGUGAAGAGCACGGUUUGUGAUCCUCCAGAGGAGAAGAAUCGUGUUAUGGUGACUCUGAAGCUGGAAAGGUAAAUUUUUGACUCUCAUGCUGUUUUAUUUUUUCCAUAAUGUGCAGUGAUGAAUAUAUUUGAUGUCAAUUGAUUCUCUGAUAUGUGCAGUGAUGAGACCGUCACUUUAAGCUUCUUUGACUCUCAGGCGGUUACUUUCCAUAACCAGCUUGAGGCUAUGAGAUCCGAAGGUCAUGGUCGUAACUAGCAUCAAUCCCAAGAUAGUCGGAGGUAUCGAAUUGUGUGGUAUACUGUGAUAUCAUAACACUUUUCUCCUGAAAAAUUGCCAUCUAUGUAGGUCGUCUGUUUCUUAACGCUACGUCUGGAACGCACGUGUAUUUUGAUAAGAAGACUAUAGCAGGAGCUGCUCGAUUCUACAGGUAUGAAUGUCGUUAAUCAGCCGUGUGUUUGUGUGUUCGGUUGUUCUUUGCCUAAUCAUUAUGCUCUGCGUAGGCUGGUCGCCAGAGAUCUGGUCUGCCGUCGGCCGCUCCACUGCUAAAGUCAUAUGCGAAGGUGGAGACUAUGACCAUCGCUGACCUCAGCAGUUUCGUCGUUUCUGCUGCAUCUCAGGUAUAAUAGCUGUUGGUUUUGUUUUGUAUUAUUUUAUCUGUAGUGUCAGUGUUCGCUUUUCAUGUGAGUCUUGAUUAUAUGUUGCAGGAGAUUGAUUUUCUGUGCACUGGGAAAGUUGUCCGGGUUGACACAAAUAAGGGGUGGUGUUAUGUUGCCUGCUCAAAAUGCAGUAAAAAAUUACAGCGGACUGAGUCUGCAUUCACGUGUGGAGUAUGCAACAAUCCACAUGCUGUUGGGGCCCUACGGUAAGUAUCGCGUCUUAUAUAUAAGGAUUUACACGUCUGCUGGUGACCUGACCUCACCUUUACCAUCUUCAUAUAGCUAUCGUGUGGAGAUGGCAAUAUCUGAUGAUACUGCGGAAGGAGUAUUCGUAUGGUUCGAUGGUGUAUUAACGAAGCUGCAUAGUAUCCGAGCAAGCGAAGCUGCACAAAUGCUGGUAUGACUCAUAACUGUUUACAUUCGUGAUGUCAACGAAAUCUUACUUCUCAUCUUUUUUUUUUCUUACAAGGCUGAAGACGGUGUGAACCCUGAGGACACUAGGUUACCCCCGUUCAUUGCAGAUAUGGAAGGAAAAACGUACACUUUCCAAGUGAGGGUCACUGCGUUUAACUUUACCGAGCAUCACAAGACAUUCACCAUAACACGUAUUGCUGAGGAUCAUGGUUGUCUACCAGUAGAUGACGUCGUGAACAAUGUAAGUUAUGUGUGUAUCGUGAUGUUCAAUUAGCUCCUUGCUGGUUGCAUAUACGUUUUUGCAUAUUGUACAGGGAGAUGAUGACGACGACGAUGAUGAUGAUGCCAGUCCGACCAUCGAGCCAUCGUCUGCUGCAGGUGAUCAAGGUGGAACCAGUAAGGCGCGUAAGAAGACUGGCGCAGGGGCGUCAAAGGUGGCGAAGAAGGCACGUGCUGGUUGAGAUAUAUCAACAAUUAAUAAUGUUCAGACUAUCGUUUACAUAAUGUUUAUGCAUGUUUAUUUGAUUUCGCAAAUUUGAAUAUUUCUGUUUUGGAUAUUCCCCAUUAUAUGGGCCCUUACGGCCUGCAUUUCGGUUCGGUUUUAAUUAUGAGGUGUUAACCUUCCGGUUAGUAUAUUAUUAUUUAUGUUAUUUUUACGGUUAGUCUAUAAUUAUUUAUAUUAAAUUUUUAUGUUACAUUGUAUGUGUUAAAAAAUAUAUAUAGGAUUUUCUAUCGUUAGUUACGUAUCUAUAUAGUAAGCUUUUGUGUUUCCCAUUCGCGGACAUAUGUUUUUAUAAUGUCGAUGGAAAAAUACAUGAGUAUAAUAUAAUAUAUAUAUAUAUUUAAAUAUAAUAACAUAUAACUCAUUCCUUUGUCAUUACCAUUGAAACACUAUUUAAUUUGUACAACUGACGCAAUAGUUGCUUGCUAUUAUUGUCCAGGCAUCCAUAAUCCUAAAUUUAAUAUAUCUACCAACUAAUUAGGAAUGUAUAACAAAAAUCAGACAAACCAUCAAACUCUCAUGCAUUUCUCCCUCCAAUAACAAAAAAAAACCACGCGACAUACGAACAACUAAGAUUAAUAUACUAAUACUUUAGUUUCAAGAUCAUCUUAUAAUUGACACCCCGCCCUACGGGCGGGCCGACCCUAGUAUAUAUUACUAUAAGGAAAACAUUACCUUUUUUUUCCUUCUGCCACGUAGAAAAUAAGGUAAGAAGAACGCGUCACGUGUAUUAACUAAAUCAGUUAUGAACUUGGUUUUGUUGGAUCUCUUAAUGGCCUCCGUUUUUCUUUUCAUUUUACAUUUUUACGGGCAUGUGUUGAGCUCUUAAUCAGGCCCUCUUGGAGAAUCAGCCGCCUCCAUUAACAACACUUCUCACCCUCGCCGUUCUUCAUACCGUCAUAAAAAAAGACUGGAUCCGUUACAGAUUCAGGCUGAAUCGAAGCGUCUCAUGAACGCAAUCAUUAACAAAAUCUCUCCACCACUCUCACGAUCUGUCAAUGAAUGCAUCCCCAUUACUUCCUUUCUCAGAAUCUUCAAUUAUGAAAAUGUAUUUGUUGUCCUGUGAAAAUCAUCAGUUCAAUUUUCUCAUUCAUAAGCUUCCUAACUCUAAACAUCUCUUCUUCAAGGAGAUGUGUGCUUAUCACAACAUUUGUGGACAUCUAGACCAACCUAGUCAGCAUCGUCGGGAGCAGCAGAGCUGUUACGCGGAACGGUGAGAAUUGCGGAGAGUGAGGAGGAGGAAUACUCGGAUAUGGUGGAGGAUUGGAGUCGUAUGGAGCAGACGAGCAAGAAGCAGAGGAGAGGGGAAGGAGUAUGGGUGGAGUUAAAGCUGAUGAGAGAGGAAACGGCGUGUAUGUUGGAUGAUCCGGUCCAGGGCGUGUGGUAGAAGGCGUUGGAGCUGGUCGAGAGGAAGGUUGGGUACGAGUAGGAGGCGGGGGAGCUGGAGAAGCAGACAAUGAAGUGGAUGAGAUAUCAUAGCAAGAAAGCGAGAGAAAUGGAGAAAGUUAAGCUAGAGUACCAGCUGACGGAGACUUAGGAUGGAGAGGAUGAUUCUGAUUCUGCGGCGGAGAGAGAUUGAGUUGGCUGAUUAGAGUCGGUAGGUGAAUGGGUUGAACCGAGUUCUGCAAUCGGGUGAGCUGAUUAAUGUUAGGAUACUCACAUUGUCGACAUAAUUAGCAAAGUCAAUUUCGUUAGUGAAGUCAAAAGGUAUUUACAUGAUUGAUUAGUAAAGAGUAAGCAUAUCUGAACUUCAUAUUUUUCUUAGAGCUUUGUGAAAGAUGGGAAAUGAGUGAUGAUGUUUGAAUCAGUCUUCUCGCAUGUUA